rnacentral:rRNA from 1 species
UACGUAGGUGGCGAGCGUUAUCCGGAAUUAUUGGGUUUAAAGGGUGCGUAGGCGGCGAGUUAAGUCAGCGGUAAAAGCCCGGGGCUCAACCCCGGCCCGCCGUUGAAACUGACGGUCUUGAGUGGGCGAGAAGUAUGCGGAAUGCGUGGUGUAGCGGUGAAAUGCAUAGAUAUCACGCAGAACUCCGAUUGCGAAGGCAGCAUACCGGCGCCCAACUGACGCUGAAGCACGAAAGCGUGGGUAGUCGAACAGGA